GUGACAAUUAUGGAACUACAGACACAACUGGCACAGAAGACUACUCUAAUCAGUGAUUCAAAGUUGAAAGAACAAAAAUUCAGAGAACAGAUUCACAAUUUAGAAGAUCGUUUGAAGAAAUAUGAAAAGAAUGUAUAUACAACAACUAUGGGGACACCUUAUAAAGGUAAAAAUGAUC